AAUAAAUGUAUUAUGAAAAUGUUGGAUAUUACACUUUGAAUCUUUCCCAGACUUGAUAGAAGGUUUCAUUGUCCUUUUGGGAAAAUGUGGAAAUCUGUCGUUUUAGACU